rnacentral:rRNA from 1 species
UACGUAGGGAGCAAGCGUUGUCCGGAAUCAUUGGGCGUAAAGCGCGCGUAGGUGGCCCUCAUAAGUCCGCUGUGAAAGUCAAAGGCUCAACCUUUGAAAGCCGGUGGAUACUGUGAGGCUAGAGUACGGAAGAGGCGAGUGGAAUUCCUGGUGUAGCGGUGGAAUGCGCAGAUAUCAGGAGGAACACCAAUAGCGAAGGCAGCUCGCUAGGACGGUACUGACGCUGAGACGCGAAAGCGUGGGGAGCGAACAGG